AUGAACGCUAGCGGCAGGCCUAACACAUGCAAGUCGAGGGGCAGCACGGUGUAGCAAUACACUGGUGGCGACCGGCGCACGGGUGCGUAACGCGUAUGCAACCUACCCAUAACAGGGGGAUAACACUGAGAAAUUGGUACUAAUACCCCAUAACAUCAGGACCGGCAUCGGUUCUGGUUGAAAACUCCGGUGGUUAUGGAUGGGCAUGCGUUGUAUUAGCUGGUUGGUGAGGUAACGGCUCACCAAGGCAACGAUACAUAGGGGGACUGAGAGGUUAACCCCCCACAUUGGUACUGAGACACGGACCAAACUCCUACGGGAGGCAGCAGUGAGGAAUAUUGGUCAAUGGACGCAAGUCUGAACCAGCCAUGCCGCGUGCAGGAAGACGGCUCUAUGAGUUGUAAACUGCUUUUGUACGAGGGUAAACGCUCUUACGUGUAAGAGCCUGAAAGUAUCGUACGAAUAAGGAUCGGCUAACUCCGUGCCAGCAGCCGCGGUAAUACGGAGGAUCCAAGCGUUAUCCGGAUUUAUUGGGUUUAAAGGGUGCGUAGGCGGUUUGAUAAGUUAGAGGUGAAAUACCGGUGCUUAACACCGGAACUGCCUCUAAUACUGUUGAACUAGAGAGUAGUUGCGGUAGGCGGAAUGUAUGGUGUAGCGGUGAAAUGCUUAGAGAUCAUACAGAACACCGAUUGCGAAGGCAGCUUACCAAACUAUAUCUGACGUUGAGGCACGAAAGCGUGGGGAGCAAACAGGAUUAGAUACCCUGGUAGUCCACGCAGUAAACGAUGAUAACUCGCUGUCGGCGAUACACAGUCGGCGGCUAAGCGAAAGCGAUAAGUUAUCCACCUGGGGAGUACGUUCGCAAGAAUGAAACUCAAAGGAAUUGACGGGGGCCCGCACAAGCGGAGGAACAUGUGGUUUAAUUCGAUGAUACGCGAGGAACCUUACCCGGGCUCAAACGCAGGGGGAAUAUAUAUGAAAGUAUAUAGCUAGCAAUAGUCACCUGCGAGGUGCUGCAUGGUUGUCGUCAGCUCGUGCCGUGAGGUGUCGGCUUAAGUGCCAUAACGAGCGCAACCCUUAUCGAUAGUUACCAUCAGGUUAUGCUGGGGACUCUGUCGAGACUGCCGUCGUAAGAUGUGAGGAAGGUGGGGAUGACGUCAAAUCAGCACGGCCCUUACGUCCGGGGCUACACACGUGUUACAAUGGUAGGUACAGAGGGCAGCUACCCAGUGAUGGGAUGCGAAUCUCGAAAGCCUAUCUCAGUUCGGAUCGGAGGCUGAAACCCGCCUCCGUGAAGUUGGAUUCGCUAGUAAUCGCGCAUCAGCCAUGGCGCGGUGAAUACGUUCCCGGGCCUUGUACACACCGCCCGUCAAGCCAUGGAAGCUGGGGGUGCCUGAAGUUCGUGACCGCAAGGAGCGACCUAGGGCAAAACCGGUGACUGGGGCU
rnacentral:rRNA from 1 species